rnacentral:sRNA from 1 species
CUCUUUGCAAGGGCCUGCGGCCUCCGUUUUGGGAACUUGAGUCCAAUUCUGUUACCCAGCAAUCAGAGAGAUUGCUAACUAAACUUUAACACAGUUGGUUGUGUUCUUGUUAACCUCAGAGAGGCCUCUUUUUCCUGAAAGUUAACUGGUCCCAUUAUUUGAAAGGAAAUUUUAAGAACCUGAACACCUACAGGAUUCAGAUUCUAUUAAAAAGCAAAAAUAUUUUUCCCACUUUUAUAUAAUCUCAGUGCUGUGGAAUGGCUUCCUGCUUUGGUGCCUUACUCAAUCUCUGUUCCUGGGAGCACCUUUUCCAAGCUGGCUUCAUGGUUUGCUCAGAAUUCUCGGGGCAGCACAGUUCCAGGGAGGGGAGCUGGCACUGUCUGCAUUCUUAGUGCUAGUAUUUCUGUGGCUGCACAGCUUACGAAGACUCUUCGAGUGCCUCUACGUCAGUGUCUUCUCCAAUGUCAUGAUUCACGUCGUGCAGUACUGUUUUGGACUUGUCUAUUAUGUCCUUGUUGGCCUAACUGUGCUGAGCCAAGUGCCAAUGGAUGGCAGGAAUGGAGUGAUCAUUCACUGUAACCACAGGAUCCCAUUUGGAGACUGGUUUGAAUAUGUUUCUUCCCCUAACUACUUAGCAGAGCUGAUGAUCUAUGUUUCCAUGGCUGUUACCUUUGGGUUCCACAACUUAACUUGGUGGCUAGUGG